ACGGAAGGCAGCAGUGAGGAAUAUUGGUCAAUGGGCGCGAGCCUGAACCAGCCAAGUAGCGUGAAGGAUGACUGCCCUAUGGGUUGUAAACUUCUUUUGUUCGGGAAUAAAGUCAGGGACGUGUCCCUGUUUGUAUGUACCGUUCGAAUAAGCAUCGGCUAAUUCCGUGCCAGCAGCCGCGGUAAUACGGAAGAUGCGAGCGUUAUCCGGAUUUAUUGGGUUUAAAGGGAGCGUAGGCGGGCUGUUAAGUCAGCGGUUAAAUGUCAGUGCCCAACAUUGGCAUGCCGUUGAAACUGGCGGUCUUGAAUACACACAAGGAAGGUGGAAUUCGUCGUGUAGCGGUGAAAUGCUUAGAUAUGACGAAGAACUCCGAUUGCGAAGGCAGCCUUCUGGGGUGCGAUUGACGCUGAGGCUCGAAAGUGCGGGUAUCAAACAGGAUUAGAUACCCUGGUA
rnacentral:rRNA from 1 species